rnacentral:rRNA from 1 species
GAUUAACGCUAGCGGCAGGCAUAAUACAUGCAAGUUGAACGGCAGCACAGGUAGCAAUACUGGGUGGCGAGUGGCGCACGGGUGCGUAACACGUAUGCAACCUACCCUAUACAGGCGAAUAACCUUUAGAAAUGAGGGCUAAUACGCCGUAGUAUUACAGAUGGGCAUCUAUUUGUAAUUAAAGAUUUAUCGGUAUAGGAUGGGCAUGCGUCCCAUUAGUUAGUUGGUAAGGUAACGGCUUACCAAGACGAUGAUGGGUAGGGGAUCUGAGAGGACUUACCCCCACACUGGUACUGAGACACGGACCAGACUCCUACGGGAGGCAGCAGUAAGGAAUAUUGGGCAAUGGCCGCGAGGCUGACCCAGCCAUGCCGCGUGCAGGAAGACGGCCUUAUGGGUUGAAAACUGCUUUUAUACGGGAAUAAUAGAGUGUACGCGUACAUUUAUGCAAGUAUCGUAUGAAUAAGCAUCGGCUAACUCCGUG